rnacentral:rRNA from 1 species
UGAAGCUGGAAUCGCUAGUAAUCGCGAAUCAGAAUGUCGCGGUGAAUACGUUCCCGGGUCUUGUACACACCGCCCGUCACACCAUGGGAGAUGGAUAUGCCCGAAGUCAGUGGCCCAACCGCAAGGGGGAGCUGCCGAAGGUGGAGCCAUUAACUGGGGUGAAGUCGUAACAAGGUACC